GGUUGUGGCUCAGAGGUAGAGCACUUGCCUAGCAUGUGCCGGGCCUUGGGUUCGAUCCUCAGCACCA
rnacentral:tRNA from 1 species